CAGCCGCCACGGUAAUACGUAGGGUGCGAGCGUUAAUCGGAAUUACUGGGCGUAAAGCGUGCGCAGGCGGUUAUAUAAGACAGAUGUGAAAUCCCCGGGCUCAACCUGGGACCUGCAUUUGUGACUGUAUAGCUAGAGUACGGUAGAGGGGGAUGGAAUUCCGCGUGUAGCAGUGAAAUGCGUAGAUAUGCGGAGGAACACCGAUGGCGAAGGCAAUCCCCUGGACCUGUACUGACGCUCAUGCACGAAAGCGUGGGGAGCAAACAGGAUUAGAUACCCCUGUAGUCUCUGUCUCUUAUAC
rnacentral:rRNA from 1 species